rnacentral:rRNA from 1 species
GAAUCUGGCUUCAGGUCUGGGACAACCACUGGAAACGGUGGCUAAUACCGGAUGUGCCGAGAGGUAAAAGGCUUGCUGCCUGAAGAUGAGCUCGCGUCUGAUUAGCUAGUAGGUGUGGUAAGAGCGCACCUAGGCGACGAUCAGUAGCUGGUCUGAGAGGAUGAUCAGCCACACUGGGACUGAGACACGGCCCAGACUCCUACGGGAGGCAGCAGUGGGGAAUUUUCCGCAAUGGGCGAAAGCCUGACGGAGCAAUACCGCGUGAGGGAGGAAGGCUCUUGGGUUGUAAACCUCUUUUCUCAGGGAAGAAAACAAUGACGGUACCUGAGGAAUAAGCAUCGGCUAACUCCGUGCCAGCAGCCGCGGUAAUACGGAGGAUGCAAGCGUUAUCCGGAAUGAUUGGGCGUAAAGCGUCCGCAGGUGGCUGUGUAAGUCUGCUGUUAAAGAGCAAGGCUCAACCUUGUAAAGGCAGUGGAAACUACACGGCUAGAGUGCGUUCGGGGCAGAGGGAAUUCCUGGUGUAGCGGUGAAAUGCGUAGAGAUCAGGAAGAACACCGGUGGCGAAGGCGCUCUGCUAGGCCGCAACUGACACUGAGGGACGAAAGCUAGGGGAGCG